rnacentral:rRNA from 1 species
GACCUCGGAUCAAGUAGGGAUACCCGCUGAACUUAAGCAUAUCAAUAAGCGGAGGAAAAGAAACCAACAGGGAUUGCCUCAGUAACGGCGAGUGAAGCGGCAACAGCUCAAAUUUGAAAUCUGGCCUUCGGGUCCGAGUUGUAAUUUGCAGAGGAUGCUUCGAGCAUGGUCUAGUCUAAGUUCCUUGGAAUAGGACGUCAUAGAGGGUGAGAAUCCCGUAUGCGACUGGGUGCCUAAGCUCAUGUGAAGCUCCUUCGACGAGUCGAGUUGUUUGGGAAUGCAGCUCAAAAUGGGUGGUAAAUUUCAUCUAAAGCUAAAUAUUGGCCAGAGACCGAUAGCGCACAAGUAGAGUGAUCGAAAGAUGAGAAGCACUUUGGAAAGAGAGUUAAAUAGCACGUGAAAUUGUUGAAAGGGAAGCGC